AUUGAACGCUGGCGGCAGGCCUAACACAUGCAAGUCGAGCGAGCGGCGGACGGGUGAGUAAUGUAUGGGGACUGCCCGAUAGAGGGGGUUAACUACUGGAACCGGUGGCUAAUACCGCAUACUAUCGGAUAACCCAUAUGGGAUUAGCUAGUAGGUGGGGUAAAGGCUCACCUAGGCGACGAUCUCUAGCUGGUCUGAGAGGAUGAUCGGCCAAACUGGGACUGAGACACGGCGCAGACGCCUACGGAGGCAGCAGGGGAGAAUAUUGCAAAAUGGGAGAAAGCCUGAUGCAGCCAUGCCGCGUGGAUGAAGAAGGGCUUAGGGUUGUAAAGUACUUUCAGUGGGGAGGCGUUACCCGCAGAAGAAGCACCGGCUAACUCCGUGCCAGCAGCCGCGGUAAUAC
rnacentral:rRNA from 1 species